UUGGAGGGCAAGUCUGGUGCCAGCAGCCGCGGUAAUUCCAGCUCCAAUAGCGUAUAUUAAAGUUGUUGCAGUUAAAAAGCUCGUAGUUGAAUUUCGAGGUUCUUCCGUUGGUCAGGCUAACCAGUCUGUACUAGCGUGUAGAAUCUCUACCUUCUGGGGAACCAUCAUGUUAUUAAUUUAGCGUGGUGGGAAACCAGGACCUUUACCUUGAAAAAAUUAGAGUGUUCAAAGCAGGCUUACGUCUGAAUACAUUAGCAUGGAAUAAUAAAAUAGGACGGUGGUCCUGUUUUGUUGGUUUCUGAAUCACCGUAAUGAUUAAUAGGGAUAGUUGGGGGCAUUAGUAUUCAAUUGUCAGAGGUGAAAUUCUUGGAUUUAUUGAAGACUAACUUCUGCGAAAGCAUUUGCCAAGGAUGUUUUCAUUAAUCAAGAACGAAAGUUAGGGGAUUGAAGACGAUCAGAUACCGUCGUAGUCUUAACCAUAAACUAUGCCGACUAGGGAUCGGACGAUGUUAAAUUUUAUUGACUCGUUCGGCGCCUUACGGGAAAC
rnacentral:rRNA from 1 species